AUGUCACCAACUGAAUCAGCGUGGCCGUUCAUUCUAAAAAGGAGACAGUAUCCUAUAUCAAUAUGUUUUGCUAUGACUAUCAACAAAAGCCAGGGUCAGUCUCUAAACAAGGUAGGACUAUAUCUACCUACACAAGUGUUCACACAUGGACAGCUAUAUGUAGCAUUCUCAAGAGUCACAAAAAGGGAUGGACUGCACGUAACGGUAAAUGAUGAAGAUAGCAACGAAGAUGAUGUUGUCAAGAACAUAGUCUAUAAAGAAAUUUUGUAA
rnacentral:rRNA from 1 species